GCCUCUGUGGCGAAAUUGGUAGACGCGACGCACUCAAAAUGCGUAGUCAGCAAUGGCGUGUUGGUUCGAGUCCGACCAGAGGCACCA
rnacentral:tRNA from 1 species